rnacentral:rRNA from 1 species
UACGUAGGAUCCAAGCGUUGUCCGGAUUUACUGGGCGUAAAGGGUGCGCAGGCGGACUUAUAAGUCAGGGGUGAAAUCUCGCUGCUCAACAGCGAAACUGCCUUUGAUACUGUAGGUCUUGAAUUAGGGAGAGAUUCGUGGAAUUCCGAGUGUAGCAGUGAAAUGUGUAGAUAUUCGGAAGAACACCAGAGGCGAAGGCAGCGAAUUGGCCCUAUAUUGACGCUCAGGCACGAAAGCAUGGGGAUCAAACAGG